CCUACGGGCGGCAGCAGUGGGGAAUAUUGGACAAUGGGCGAAAGCCUGAUCCAGCCAUGCCGCGUGUGUGAAGAAGGCCUUCGGGUUGUAAAGCACUUUCAGUGGGGAAGAAAGCCUUGGGGCUAAUACCCUCGAGGAAGGACAUCACCCACAGAAGAAGCACCGGCUAACUCCGUGCCAGCAGCCGCGGUAAUACGGAGGGUGCGAGCGUUAAUCGGAAUUACUGGGCGUAAAGCGCGCGUAGGCGGUCUGAUAAGCCGGUUGUGAAAGCCCCGGGCUCAACCUGGGAACGGCAUCCGGAACGGUCAGGCUAGAGUGCAGGAGAGGAAGGUAGAAUUCCCGGUGUAGCGGUGAAAUGCGUAGAGAUCGGGAGGAAUACCAGUGGCGAAGGCGGCCUUCCGGACUGACACUGACGCUGAGGUGCGAAAGCGUGGGUAGCAAACAGGAUUAGAUACCUAGUAGUC
rnacentral:rRNA from 1 species